AGACAGGAUAUUGUCAUCUCAUCUGCGGUUGUAUAUAAGCCCUCAGAGCUCGGCUGCAGAGGGACUGCCUGAGAGCGUCUCAGUAAAAACAUACAAAGAAGCAACUGCGGCAAGUGGCCACUGAGACCAUAAACACCAAGAGACUGCAAGGACCCUCGGAGAGCACUUGGCCUGGGCAAGGUGAUUUUCUUUGCUGAUCUCACCAGCUCUUAAAGACAGUAGAGUAAUUAGCUCCUGCUGCUGUUUGGACAAUUGUGAGCCUCAGUGGCCAUACCCAUUCAUAGCAAAACCUGAGCCAAGUGGCAGGUCAAGGAGACCCUGUUGCCCAUCAAUAGGGGCCUCAUUGUUCCCUAGCAACACGCUCUAGCAACUGCGGACAUCAGCGCUUGGUUGAGGAAACCGGCUCUCCUGAGUAUCAACUGGUAUAAAGGGACACUUCAGGAAAGCUCCCGAGUGUGGCCCUGAUGGAGACUCUGGAUGGACGGGGGCAUUAGAGGAAGGUGUUGACCCUUGAGGUGACCCGACAAAAGCAGAGCCAGGACCCAGCUCACGCCUGGAAGGUGUGGGAGCGAAGGAACGUCACAGAAGGAACGUUGAUUCAGGAGGAGGUUGGGCUUUGUCCUACUUUGCCACUUCUCUGGCCCGUGGCCCAGGGUAGCAGUUGCCACAAAGAUAUCGGGGUGGACUGCUUGCCCCGGAACCACAGGCCCCGAAGGCUUCCUGCUGAAGCGGCCUGUGGUGGCCGCGGGGUGGCCCUGACGAGGCUGGGGGAUGUGCCUUCUUCAGCCUUCUUCCAGCGUGGCUCCAAGCCACUGGCCACUACAAGGUGUGACAGUCACCUCUGCAUGUCCCCAGGGUGGCAAGCAGGUGGGGGGGGGUCUCUGUGUGGCAAAGGACGACAUCCCUGUGUUGUUCUGCUCUCCACAGUCAGAGCAAUGGUUCCUCCUGCCGGUCCUCCCGGGAGGCUGCAGGUCUCCACCGACGUCCGUCUUCAGGGACCGGAGCUUUCCACGGCUCCACCGGGACCUUCAGCCGCUGUGUCCAGCUCCCCCACCUUGUCCUCUGCGUCCGGCUCGAGCUUGGAAAUUCUCUGACUGCAGCAGCUCGGGCCUGAGCUCCCGAGCCGGUUGUCGGCUUCCACCAAUGGUGACCAUUUUCUUCCUGAUUUUGCGAAGAGGAAAAAAAAAUUUCUCUAUGCAGGCCGAGGACUCGGUUCAACUUGCAAGUCUCCGAGCAUCGUGACGUGUCCUCUGCUGCUUUGGGAUCAGCCCGUUCAUUGCUGCCUAGGAGCCAUUGAGCUGCUCUGCAAGCACAGGAUCCUCAAGCAGCCACCUGGCCAAGGGCUGUUGAGCAGACCGGGGUGCACACCUCCUUGUUGGGGGCACGGGGGACGGCGGCCCGUCCAGCCUCCGGGUGGACCCAAGGAGAGCUUGCUGCAGGUGCACACCUCCUUGUUGGGGGCACGGGGACGGCAGCCCGUCCAGCCUCCGGGUGGACCCAAGGAGAGCUUGCUGCAGGUGCCUUUGGCCACGACUCCCCGCUUCCCACAGGUGUCACCUGUAGUCUCAGGGGAUGGGCACCAGGGGGCACCAUCCCACCAGUGUUCUUUCUGGAUCUGGGAACCACUGUCCUGUGCUCGCUAGUUUCCACUGAGGGUCAACUUUCUCCUCUCCCCAGGCUUCCCUGGCUUUUCCUAUCUCCUUUCCCGUGUUUUUCUUUGGUUCUUGGGAAUCUGAGGUACAGAGUUGAUGGCCUCAAUGACGGUGGUGACCAUCAUGCUAUUAGAAAACCUACAGAAACACUGAUAGUGACCUGAUAUUGGAGGCUUAUUAUGUGCUAAGGGCUUUCAAAAUAUUAUUUAUUUGUUUAUUUGUUUAUUUUUAUUUUUUUAUAAAGAUUUUAUUUAUCCAUGAGAGAUGCAGAGAGAGAGGCAGAGACACAAGCAGAGGGAGAAGCAGGCUCCAUGCAAGGAGCCCCAUGUCAGACUCGAUCCCGGGACCCGAGGGUCAUGCCCUGAGCUGAAGGCAGAUGCUCAACCGCUGAGCCACCCGGGCGACCCUCCAGAUAGUAUUUAAAAGUCUCACUGUGGGGAUCCCUGGGUGGCGCAGUGGUUUGGCGCCUGCCUUUGGCCCAGGGCGCGAUCCUGGAGACCCGGAAUUGAGUCCCACGUCGGGCUCCCGGUGCAUGGAGCCUGCUUCUCCCUCUGCCUGUGUCUCUGCCUCUC
ensembl:lncRNA